UACGUAGGUGGCGAGCGUUGUCCGGAUUUACUGGGCGUAAAGCGCACGUAGGUGGCGACGUAAGUCGGGUGUGAAAGCCCCGGGCUCAACCUGGGAAUUGCAUUCGAGACUGCAUUGCUGGAGUACGGAAGAGGAAGGCGGAAUUCCCGGUGUAGCGGUGAAAUGCGUAGAUAUCGGGAGGAACAUCAGUGGCGAAGGCGGCCUUCUGGUCCAGUACUGACACUCAAGUGCGAAAGCGUGGGGAGCAAACAGG
rnacentral:rRNA from 1 species